rnacentral:pre_miRNA from 1 species
AUGUAAGACAAUCUGUUUUUAAGCAGGGAUAAAUUACUCUAAAAAAAAUGAAUCCUGGAUACUUUUCAAAUCAAGCAUCGUGU